ACCAGCCCGUCCUCAUUAGCGCCGCUCGGGCUCAGCGGUUAAUCUGGCGAAAGCCAAGGGACACUGAGUCAUCCGCCUCCUUUUCAAGCAAGACGUACUUCUGGGAAUGUGAAGAACACUGAGGCGACGUGACAUUCCUUAGCUUGUAGCAGUAAUUACGGCAACUCCCCACUUCCUCUCUAGACGCGUUGCCUCAUCUUUCUGAACAGGACGAAACAGAUUUACUUGCAACUUACGUGCCUCUGGGAGACAAAGGCAGGUCGGUGUGUCUGAGCCCCACCCCUCCCAUUGUGCGACAGCUCGGCCACCGGCCCCAGAGCGAGAGUGGGCCCCGCUGUCCUGCCUCCACGUGCGUGAGGACGACGCCCGGGAGGGGCCCUCCGUGCCCACAGCACAGUUGUGAAAACUGGUCACAGCGCAGGCGCUGCACGCCUGCGUCACGCCACAUGCAUGCGGGGCAUCUGGGGACACGUCAGCCCGCUGAGGGGCAUGGCAGCUGCUUCCAGUCUCUGUCCUUUUCAGAAUAAGUCACAGGACAGAUGAAGAAGCUGAGGCUCACAGAAGGGAAGUAGCUGCUGUGGACCCACAGUGUGGAAGCAUCAGGGCCGGGAUUUCAACCCAGGCUGUCCGGCUCCAGGCACGCCCAGCAUAGCACAACAACAGGGGUGCUUGACGUCCAGUUAGCCGCGGGAAGGCAAGGGAAGGGAACGUUCUGGGGGUUUCUGUCCGGGUGCCUCAGAGGACAGAUGGCGGGGGGCACCACGGGGCAGGCACGUGGGAGGGGGAGCUUGUAGCUAGUUUGCCUGGGACCAAAUGAAACCCCGACACCAGCAAACGACCACGGGCGGGCCAGGCAGUCGGUAACUGGGGCCCAGGUUUAUGUCCAAGAGCAGAGCUGGAAGUGUCCGCUCGGAACAAAGGGGAGGUGGUGUCUGUAGCCAGGGUAGGGAAGCAAGAUGCGAGGAGAAUCACAGGAGCGUGGCCUGCGGGUCGAUGAUGUGCCAGCCGCAGGUUCCGUGCUCCUCAUGUGCCCUGGUGACCCCCCCGCCAUGCCACCCCGUCAUCUGUGUCCUACAGCCCCACCCGCUCUGCCCCCUGCUGCUUCGGGGACCCUCAGACUCUCCAGCCCCGGGCUCCGUCUUCCUGCUGCCCCUGCACUGCUCCAAUGAAUUGUCACCUGCUCAGAGAGGCCUGCGCUGGUCCUCAGGCCUGCGGUUCUCAUCUGGUCCUACUUCACGCUCUUCCUCGAUUUUCUCUCCGUCUGCGUGUUGCUGACCCGGCGCGUUGAUGUGUUUCCCAGCCGGCUCUUCCUCCCGGGACGCACGUCGCAGGAGCCCUCUUGGACAUGACGCUGUGCUCAGCACCUGAACGGGGAAGCACGGAGCACAGGUUUGCCGAGCGGAAGCUCGAAUACGUUCUGAACUAUCAGUAUCGAGGGGCAGAGAAAUACAGAGGUUAGGAUUGCAGGACUCCAGGAUUCAUCCGAUCCCACGCAGUCUUCCUGAGCUGGGCAGCCACACUCUGCCCGACCUUUCAUAGGGCCUGGAGCUACUUACCACUCAGCGGACACAGGGGGCUAACCAAACAUAGCCGAGGAGGUGACGUUAGGUCAUUUUCACGAGCUCACUUAAAACUCCCACUCUGGGGGCGCCUGGGCGGCUCAGUCGGUUAAGCCUCUGGCUUCGGCUCAGGUCAUGAUCUCACGGUUCGUGGGUU